rnacentral:rRNA from 1 species
AUUGAACGCUGGCGGCAUGCUUUACACAUGCAAGUCGAACGGUAACAGGCCGCAAGGUGCUGACGAGUGGCGAACGGGUGAGUAAUGCAUCGGAACGUGCCCAUUCGUGGGGGAUAAAUGCUCGAAAGAGCAGCUAAUACCGCACACGAUCUAUGUAUGAAAGCGGGGGACCGUAAGGCACCGCGCGAUUGGAGCGGCCGAUGUCGGAUUAGGUAGUUGGUGGGGUAAAGGCUCAACAAGCCAACGAUUUGUAGCUGGUAUGAGAGGACGACCAGCCACACUGGGACCGAGACACGGCCCAGACUCCUACGGGAGGCAGCAGUGGGAAAUUUUGGACAAUGGGGGCAACCCUGAUCCAGCAAUGCCGCGUGCAGGAAGAAGGCCUUCGGGUUGUAAACUGCUUUUGUACGGAACGAAACGGUCUGGGUUAAUACCCUGGGCUAAUGACGGUACCGUAAGAAUAAGCACCGGCUAACUACGUGCCAGCCGCCGCGGUAACAC